rnacentral:rRNA from 1 species
CGUAGGUGGCAAGCGUUGUCCGGAUUUAUUGGGUUUAAAGGGUGCGUAGGCGGUUCCAUAAGUCAGUGGUGAAAUACGGCAGCUCAACUGUCGAGGUGCCAUUGAUACUGCGGAACUUGAGUACUGAUGAGGUAGGCGGAGUUGACGGUGUAGCGGUGAAAUGCUUAGAUAUCGUCAAGAACACCGAUAGCGAAGGCAGCUUACCAAGCAGUAACUGACGCUGAGGCACGAAAGUGCUGGGAUCAAACAGGAUUAGAUACCCUGGUAGUCCGCACAGUAAACGAUGAUUACUCGAUGUUGGCGAUACACAGCCAGCGUCUUAGCGAAAGCGAUAAGUAAUCCACCUGGGGAGUACGCCCGCAAGGGUGA